rnacentral:rRNA from 1 species
UCAGGACGAACGCUGGCGGCGUGCCUAAUACAUGCAAGUCGAGCGGACAGAAGGGAGCUUGCUCCCGGAUGUUAGCGGCGGACGGGUGAGUAACACGUGGGUAACCUGCCUGUAAGACUGGGAUAACUCCGGGAAACCGGAGCUAAUACCGGAUAGUUCCUUGAACCGCAUGGUUCAAGGAUGAAAGACGGUUUCGGCUGUCACUUACAGAUGGACCCGCGGCGCAUUAGCUAGUUGGUGGGGUAAUGGCUCACCAAGGCGACGAUGCGUAGCCGACCUGAGAGGGUGAUCGGCCACACUGGGACUGAGACACGGCCCAGACUCCUACGGGAGGCAGCWGUAGGGAAUCUUCCGCAAUGGACGAAAGUCUGACGGAGCAACGCCGCGUGAGUGAUGAAGGUUUUCGGAUCGUAAAGCUCUGUUGUUAGGGAAGAACCAAGUGCGAGGAGUAACUGCUCGCACCUGAC